UACGGAGGGGGCUAGCGUUGUUCGGAAUUACUGGGCGUAAAGCGCACGUAGGCGGACUGUUAAGUCGGGGGUGAAAUCCUGGGGCUCAACCUCAGAAUUGCCUCCGAUACUGGCAGUCUCGAGUGCGGGAGAGGUGAGUGGAAUUCCCAGUGUAGAGGUGAAAUUCGUAGAUAUUGGGAAGAACACCAGUGGCGAAGCCGGCUCACUGGCCCGUAACUGACGCUGAGGUGCGAAAGCGUGGGGAGCAAACAGG
rnacentral:rRNA from 1 species